ensembl:snoRNA
ACAGUCUGAAAAUUAUCCGGGACGUGUCCGUCGCCCUGGGUAAGAUAACUGUGCACACAGGGAGGUGGCACAUUUAAGCUCAUUGCCUGCUGAUGUGGUGGUGCAAUUAAACCCAUGUGCCUACAGAC